rnacentral:lncRNA from 1 species
CAUAUAAUUGGACUUCAAUCAUCAUUACCAUUAAAAGGCAAAAAUUGGUUAUGUACUUAUGCCUAGCAACCAAUAUAACACAAGGCGGCUUUGAUGUUACUUGUUACCUCCCAAAAUGUUUCUUCUCAAUUGCCAGCCGACGUACCAGAGAAGGAAAAACCCCUGAAAUGUGGAAUAAAACAAGCAGAAAAAAACAGCCCAAGUACUCAUAAAUUGAACGAGGAGUAGUAUUCAGUAGAGUUUGGUCAGCUCUUAAUGUAAGCAUAGUGUAUCAAUUUAGCCAUCCAUGGUGCUAACCUUGGUGCGCCACUGUCAGCUGAUGGAGACAGGAAAGCCUCUGUUCAGAUCUUACUAACUCGCCCUGUAACGUUAUUUAUGGGAAGGUACCCCAGCUAUCAAAGUUAAAAGAGUCAAGUGCA